rnacentral:rRNA from 1 species
GACGAACGCUGGCGGCGUGCUUAACACAUGCAAGUCGAACGGUAAGGCCCUUCGGGGUACACGAGUGGCGAACGGGUGAGUAACACGUGGGUGAUCUGCCCUGCACUUCGGGAUAAGCCUGGGAAACUGGGUCUAAUACCGGAUAGGACCACUGCCUGCAUGGGUGGUGGUGGAAAGCUUUGGCGGUGUGGGAUGGGCCCGCGGCCUAUCAGGUUGUUGGUGGGGUGAAGGCCUACCAAGGCGAAGACGGGUAGCCGGCCUGAGAGGGUGACCGGCCACACUGGGACUGAGGUACGGCCCAGACUCCUACGGGAGGCAGCAGUGGGGAAUAUUGCACAAUGGGCGCAAGCCUGAUGCAGCGACGCCGCGUGAGGGAUGACGGCCUUCGGGUUGUAAACCUCUUUCAGCACCGACGAAGCGCAAGUGACGGUAGGUGCAGAAGAAGGACCGGCCAACUACGUGCCAGCAGCCGCAGUAA